rnacentral:tRNA from 1 species
CAGGGUAUAGCUUAAGUGGUAGAGCACAUGCUUAGCAUGCACAAGGGCCUAGGUUCAAUUCCCAGUACCUCGU